rnacentral:rRNA from 1 species
UGGGGAAUAUUGGACAAUGGAGGAAACUCUGAUCCAGCAAUUCUGUGUGUGUGAAGAAGGUUUUAGGACUGUAAAACAUCUUUAGUAGGGAAGAAAAAAAUGACGGUACCUACAGAAGAAGCAACGGCUAAAUACGUGCCAGCAGCCGCGGUAAUACGUAUGUUGCGAGCGUUAUCCGGAAUUAUUGGGCUUAAAGGGCAUCUAGGCGGUAAGACAAGUUGAAGGUGAAAACCUGUGGCUCAACAAUAGGCUUGCCUACAAAACUGUUGAACAAGAGUAGUGGGGAGGAGGGUGGAACUACACGAGUAGAGGUGAAAUUCGUAGAUAUGUGUAGGAAUGCCGAUGAUGAAGAUAACUCACAGGACGGAAACUGCCGCUGAAGUGCGAAGGCUGGGGGGGCAAACAGG